UCAGGCUUGUGGAGGUGUGUUGAACUAAAAGAUGCUUCUAUUGAGGCAGCCAUGGUAACUGCUGAUGGAAGUCCAUUAACAAAUGUUCCUCCUCCUGGAGGUGUUGUCAGAGUGGGUGUUGCUUGUCAACAGUAUUUGUCCAACACUUCUGUUGAGCAGUUAUUUUUUGUCUUGGAUCUAUAUGCUUACUUUGGCAGAGUUGGUGAAAAGAUUGCCUCAGUUGGCAGAAGUAGGAGACCAAAGAGAAUUGGGAAUGAAUCUUCAGGUGGUAGGCUAAUGGAUAAGGUUCCUUGUGAUACUGCAGUAAGCCUCGCAGUGAAGGGACUUCAGCUUAGAUUUCUAGAGUCUUCCUCCAUAGAUAUUGAGGGAAGGCCUCUGGUUCAAUUUAUUGGAGAAGAUCUUUUCUUCAAAGUUGCCCAUAGAACCCUUGGUGGCGCUAUUGCUGUGUCAUCCACUUUACAAUGGCAAACUGUUGAGGUGGACUGUGUAGAGACAGAGGGAAGUUUGGUUCAUGAAAAUGGCACAAUUUUAACUUCUGUUGAUAAUGGCUGGGUGG
rnacentral:misc_RNA from 1 species